rnacentral:rRNA from 1 species
GAUGAACGCUGGCGGCGUGCCUAAUACAUGCAAGUCGAGCGAACAGACGAGGAGCUUGCUCCUCUGACGUUAGCGGCGGACGGGUGAGUAACACGUGGAUAACCUACCUAUAUGACUGGGAUAACUUCGGGAAACCGGAGAUACUACUGGAUAAUAUAUUGAACCGCAUGGAUCAAUAGAGAAUGACGGUUUUGCUGUCACUUAUAGAUGGAUCCGCGCCGCAUUAGCUAGUUGGUAAGGUAACGGCCUACCAAGGCAACGAUGCGUAGCCGACCUGAGAGGAUGAUCGGCCACACUGGAACUGAGACACGGUCCAGACUCCUACGGGAGGCAGCAGUAGGGAAUAUUGCGCAAUGGGCGAAAGCCUGACGGAGCAACGCCGCGUGAGUGAUGAAGGUCUUCGGAUCGUAAAACUCUGUUAUUAGGGAAGAACAAAUGUGUAAUUAACUAUGCACGUCUUGACGGUACCUAAUCAGAAAGCCACGGCUAACUACGUG